rnacentral:rRNA from 1 species
CCUACGGGAGGCAGCAGUGAGGAAUAUUGGUCAAUGGACGAGAGUCUGAACCAGCCAAGUAGCGUGAAGGAUGACUGCCCUAUGGGUUGUAAACUUCUUUUAUAUGGGAAUAAAAUGUUCCACGUGUGGGAUUUUGUAUGUACCAUAUGAAUAAGGAUCGGCUAACUCCGUGCCAGCAGCCGCGGUAAUACGGAGGAUCCGAGCGUUAUCCGGAUUUAUUGGGUUUAAAGGGAGCGUAGGUGGAUUGUUAAGUCAGUUGUGAAAGUUUGCGGGUCAAACGUAAAAUCGCAGUUGAAACUGGCAGUCUUGAGUACAGUAGAGGUGAGCGGAAUUCGUGGUGUAGCGGUGAAAUGCUUAGAUAUCACGAAGAACUCCGAUUGCGAAGGCAGUUCACUGGACUGCAACUGACACUGAGGCUCGAAAGUGUGGGUAUCAAACAGGAUUAGAUACCCUUGUAGUC